rnacentral:lncRNA from 1 species
GCCUCGUAGGCCACUAGAAAUUCUUUGGCUUUUGCUGUACGUGAGAUCUGAAGUCCCCGAAGGCUUGGCUUCUUAGAGGAGUGACAAGUUCUGAAUUGCGUGUUGCUAGGAGCCCUGUGGCUGCUUGGUGGUGAGGAGGCUGGAGUUGGCCUCGGGGUGAAGCAGAGAGACCAGCUAAGAGGGCGCUGCCCAGAAAUCCUGGUGACAGAUGGUGGGCCCUGUGGGUGAAGCCUGUGUGCCCUUGUUGUCCUGCAGAGGGAACAAGCAGGACGAGGAGGAGAACCAGGUGUCAGCGUGAAGAAAAUGAGAGCGCUGGGGAGAACGAAGGCAGGCUGUUUCCUUCAGGAGCAGCAACUGACCUGGAAGGGAAGGCAACGAGGGAAAGGAAAAGUUCCAUCUCUCCUCCUCCCACUCUUUCCCUGAGUCCCAGGGCCUGAUUGGUUAAGCACCAAGAGAAGUGAUGACAACUCACAAUGUCGUUCAGAACCUAGUAAUCACAUCCCUUCACAGGAUCCGAGCAUGGCCACAACCACGUGGGUUACUCCGUGUUCAGAGCUGAAUACGGUCCACUGGGCGACGGACAGUGAUUGUGGCCUCAAGAUCCAAUCACUCAGAGAGAGGUGCGAGGGAACUCAGCUCCCGGCUUUCUCAGUUGUCCUCUCUUCCUGAAUCCAUCUGUGGUGUCAACCAGUCAUGGAUGCAGGAGACUCUGAAGUUAAGCCCAGCAGCACCACACUGAACAUCCUGAGGAAGAGACCUGAAUACUUAAAGCCCCAAAACCUUGCCUCCAAAAACAUGGUGAGCUUUUUACUCAGUAGGCAACUGGGGAGGCACAGAAGUGAUGUGGAUCUGUCAAGGUGGCUGUGGAUGCUGGCAAGAGCCACACCAGGGUGGAGCUGGCCUUUGCCAAAAAAUCACAUGACUUAGCGGGUUAUGCCUCCCCAGAACUUUUGGGAAACGAAAAAGAUCUAAAAUAAACCCCUCCCUUGUUUCAGCUGUUAAAAGAAAUGCUGUGUCUUCACUCCAUUUGUC